GACGAACGCUGGCGGCGUGCUUAACACAUGCAAGUCGAACGGAAAGGCCUGCGUUCCCUUGUGGAUUGCGGGUACUCGAGUGGCGAACGGGUGAGUAACACGUGAGUGAUCUGCCCCCAACUUGGGUAUAAGCCUGGGAAACUGGGUCUAAUUCCCGAUAGGACUGCAGGGUGGUGCCUGUGGUGGAAAACGAUUUUCUAGUGGUUGGGGAUGAGCUCGCGGCCUAUCAGCUUGUUGGUGGGGUAAUGGCCUACCAAGGCGGCGACGGGUAGCCGGCCUGAGAGGGUGGACGGCCACAUUGGGACUGAGAUACGGCCCAGACUCCUACGGGAGGCAGCAGUGGGGAAUAUUGCACAAUGGGCGGAAGCCUGAUGCAGCGACGCCGCGUGGGGGAUGACGGCCUUCGGGUUGUAAACUCCUUUCGACCGCGAGGAAGCCACCUGGUUGGAAGGGUGGUGACGGUAGUGGUAGAAGAAGCACCGGCUAACUACGUG
rnacentral:rRNA from 1 species